UACGUAGGGGGCAAGCGUUGUCCGGAUUUAUUGGGCGUAAAGAGCGUGUAGGCGGCUGGGUAGGUCCGUUGUGAAAACUCGAGGCUCAACCUCGAGACGCCGAUGGAAACCCUCCAGCUAGAGCCCGGAAGAGGAGAGUGGAAUUCCUGGUGUAGCGGUGAAAUGCGCAGAUAUCAGGAAGAACACCCGUGGCUAAGGCGGCUCUCUAGUACGGUACUGACGCUGAGACGCGAAAGCGUGGGGAGCGAACAGG
rnacentral:rRNA from 1 species